UGUUAACACACCCGAGUACUCCGGGACACGUGGAACCCUGGAGGAAUCUGCGAGGACCAUCUCGCAAGGCUAAAUACUACCUGCCGACCGAUAGUGAACCAGUACCGUGAGGGAAAGGUGAAAAGUACUCCUAACAGGAGAGUGAAACAGUACCUGAAACCGUGCGUCUACAAAUAGUGGUAGUCCUAUGGGUCGCAAGACCACCGGACGACCGCGUGCCUUUUGUAUAAUGAGUCAGCGAGUUACGCUUCGUGGCAAGGUUAAGUCGACAGACGAAGCCACAGGGAAACCGAGUCUGAACAGGGCGUUCAGUCGCGGGGCGUAGACCCGAAACCGAGUGAUCUAUCCAUGGCCAGGCUGAAGCGCGGGUAACACCGCGUGGAGGGCCGGACCCACCAUAGUUGAAAAUAUGGGGGAUGAGCUGUGGAUGGGGGUGAAAGGCCAAUCAAACUCGGAGAUAGCUGGUCUCCCCGAAACAUAUUUAGGUAUGGCCUUAGGUCAUGCGUCGCGGGGGUAAAGCACUGGAUGGGCUAGGGGUCAC
rnacentral:rRNA from 1 species